CGAUCGCGGCUCACCCAGCCCCAUUACGUAAAGCGGGAUGGUGCCACACCUUGACAGUUUAAAAUGCCAAGGGGAGUGAGGAGCCUGCACUCAACGUUUGAAACUGACCAUCGCUCAAAGCCCGUGCUCGCCUUCCUAAGUCGCUUCGGCAGGUCUUUGAGAAAACUGUGACCACCUGCAAAAGCCGGACGCUCACUCGGUUCUCUGGCUGCAAACUGGACUUGGUGUUUUGUGGCAACUCUGUUUAGCAAUCAGCUCUUUAUGUAGACGUUCUUACCCUGUGGUUUAUAGGCUGCCUGCCACAUUAGGGGUCCAAUUUGUGUUGGUUAGUGUAAUAUAAAUAAUUAAAAAUGCUAUUUUAAAAAAGUGGGUAGCACAAAAUUACUCUGUAAAGUAAGAGUUAGACAGUUAAAAUACGUGCCUAAGAGUGUACUAGCUCAUGUCAUUUAAUUCAGGGCUUUUUAGAAAAAAAAUCAAAAGUCACUAAGUUGUCAGUACUUCCAAAUUCUCUUGUGAUGGUCAACUUCAAUGAGAAGAAAAGACCAGGGAAGGAAUGUUGGGGCUCACUAACUCUGAAGGCAGUGAUAAUAACACUAGUUGGUCUGCAUUUUGAAGGCAGCUCUCUUACUUAUUCCUGCAGAGUCAAGAGUUUUCUGUUACGUGUUUGCCAAUUAGUCCUAUUGCAGUUUUGGGUUGUGCUGCAUGUUCUUCAGUGGUGGUAACUUGAGUUUAACUCAAGUCUGCUGUUAGCUGUAAUCCCUUCAUAAAUGUUCUCAAGAACUUUUCAUGUUUCUGGAUGCCUGGAAUGGAUAAGAUAUAUUUUAUUUGCAAAUCAA